rnacentral:rRNA from 1 species
GACGAACCGUGCAAGCGUUAUUCGGAAUCACUGGGCUUAAAGGGCGCGUAGGCGGGCCGCCAGGUCCGGGGUGAAAGCCUCCAGCUCAACUGGAGAAGUGCCUUGGAUACCGGCGGGCUCGAGGGAGGUAGGGGCGUGCGGAACUUCGGGUGGAGCGGUGAAAUGCGUAGAUAUCCGAAGGAACACCGGUGGCGAAAGCGGCGCGCUGGAUCUCUUCUGACGCUGAGGCGCGAAAGCCAGGGGAGCAAACGGG